rnacentral:lncRNA from 1 species
AAAGCUCAUGCAAAGAAAAAGCUAAGAGGAGACUUUGUUUUAAUGCACAUGUAAGUUGUUUGCAGUGCUGCAAUGUGUGCAUUAGUUGUUUCCAUGGACUUAUUGGGUUACUACCUUAACUUAUAAAGCCAUGAAUAUUCUGAAGAUGUUUUUGUUAUGAACAGUUAAUUGUGUUUGUUUUUUCAUUGUAACCUACUAAUUGGAUAAUAGUAAUGCAUAUUCUCCUGUUGCUUCAAUGACAUUUUCAUGUCAUAGACACUAAA